UGAAGUUCUAUUUAAACUACUCCUUG
rnacentral:tRNA from 3 species